rnacentral:rRNA from 1 species
UAAUACGGGCCGGACAAACGUUAUUCGGAAUCACUGGGCUUAAAGAGUGCGUAGGCGGCCAUGCAAGUUGGGUGUGAAAUCCCUCGGCUUAACCGAGGAAUAGCGCUCAAAACUGCAUGGCUUGAGGAAGACAGGGGUGAGCGGAACUGAUGGUGGAGCGGUGAAAUGCGUUGAUAUCAUCAGGAACACCGGUGGCGAAGGCGGCUCACUGGGUCUUUUCUGACGCUGAGGUACGAAAGCUAGGGUAGCGAACGGGAUUAGAUACCCCGGUAGUCCUAGCUGUAAACGAUGAGCACUAGUUCGAGGAGACCUCCACAUCUUCUUGGACGUAGCGAAAGUGUUAAGUGCUCCGCCUGGGGAGUAUGGUCGCAAGGCUG